rnacentral:tRNA from 1 species
UUGUAGCCCCGCCAACACAGGGAAAACCUGUCGCU